ensembl:lncRNA
UUCAAUUCAAAGGGUUUUAUUAACAUGGAACAAAUAGGCUUACAUUUACGUUGCAAAACCACACAAAAGUACAAAUCUGAUAAAGAAUUAAAUUGUAAAUUUGUCAAAAUACAAUACAAAAACCAUCUAAAAUACAGCAGAAAUCUAUUGCAGGCCUAUAUAUUCCUGAGUGCUGGAUAUGAUCCACAGUAACAAUAAAUGAGAAUGGAAAUUGAUCAAAUUCUGGGCGUAAGAUACACUGUUCACACACGGUUCCCAGGCCCUGCUAGUCCACUUCAGACCCACCACCUCCUCCCCUCCCUAAAGAACCUCCCUCCAGGAAGUCCUUUCACAACGCACUCAUCGUCAUCCACAGAGCCGUAGUCUUCAUCCUGUCCUCCGGGGGCAGAAAGCAGAAGGAGGGGCAGACGUGUGGCGUAAUCCUUGAGGUUACGAGUCGGUGAUUGAGCGGAACUGGCCCAGGAGUUGGAGUGGGGGGUAAUCCCUGAGGUGAAGGGUCCUACCCUGGGGGGUAAUCCCUGAGGUGGAAGGUCCUACCCUGGGGGGUAAUCCCUGAGGUGAAGGGGUCCUACCCUAGGGGGUAAUCCCUGAGGUGAAGGGUCCAACCCUGGGGGGUAAUCCCUGAGGUGAAGGGUCCUACCCUAGGGGGUAGUCCCUGAGGUGAAGGGUCCUACCCUUGGGGGUAAUCCCUGAGGUGAAGGGUCCAACCCUGGGGGGUAAUCCCUGAGGUGAAGGGUCCUACCUUGGGGGUAAUCCCUGAGGUGAUGGGUCCUACCCUGGGGGGUAAUCCCUGAGGUGAAGGGUCCUACCCUGGGGGGUAAUCCCUGAGGUGAAGGGUCCUACCCUUGGGGGUAAUCCCUGAGGUGAAGGGUCCAACCCUAGGGGGUAAUCCCUGAGGUGAAGGGGUCCAACCCUGGGGGGUAAUCCCUGAGGUGAAGGGUCCAACCCUGGGGGGUAAUCCCUGAGGUGAAGGGUCCAACCCUGGGGGGUAAUCCCUGAGGUGAAGGGUCCUACCCUGGGGGGUAAUCCCUGAGGUGGAGGGUCCUACCCUGGGGGGUAAUCCCUGAGGUGAAGGGUCCUACAGUGGGGGGGUGGGGGUCGUCAGUAGGUUAUGAUGAGUGUCAGUAUCCUGUUCCCUUCUGUAGGCGGGGCCAAGAGGGUCUAGCUGCAGACCUCUCUCUCAGGCUGAGAGAGGAUCCUGAACUGAUCCUGGACCAGUUUACAGUCCCCCCAUAGAAGAAUAACAUGACGGGAACAAUAAUUAACGUCGACUUUUGAGGGAGAAUUUAAGAAAACCUAUAUACAUGUCGCGGAAACGGUGAUCCCCUUAUAGGAAGUCCCGCCCACCCUCUCGCUAAUAUCGCCCAUUCGGAGCAUCCCGUUCCAGGCAUCCCGUCUUUAGAUGAGGACGCCUGGAAACAACCGGGUAAAGGCUGCUGAAUGUUUUAGAUUGUUCUUCCUUUGUAUUUAACCUCACUUCCAUAUCCCCAUGUAGCAGGCCUAGGACUAUUUUACAUGUAUCCUUUUUAUGUUAAGUAAAAGAUUAA